rnacentral:rRNA from 1 species
UAGGGAAUAUUGCGCAAUGGAGGAAACUCUGACGCAGCGACGCCGCGUGGGUGAUGAAGGCCUUCGGGUCGUAAAGCCCUGUCGGAAGGAAAGAAAAUCAUUAUGGCUAAUAUCCAUAGUGUUUGACGGUACCUUUAAAGGAAGCACCGGCUAACUACGUGCCAGCAGCCGCGGUAAUACGUAGGGUGCAAGCGUUGUUCGGAAUCAUUGGGCGUAAAGCGCGUGUAGGUGGUUAUGUAAGUCGGGUGUGAAAUCCCUGGGCUCAACCGAGGAAGUGCAUCCGAAACUACAUAGCUAGAGGACAGUAGAGGAAGGUGGAAUUCCUAGUGUAGAGGUGAAAUUCGUAGAUAUUAGGAGGAAUACCGGUGGCGAAGGCGGCCUUCUGGGCUGGACCUGACACUGAGACGCGAAAGCGUGGGUAGCAAACAG